rnacentral:piRNA from 1 species
UGGUCUCUCAGUGUUGCCUGUGGCGCU